UACGGGGGGUGCGAGCGUUGUCCGGAAUCACUGGGCGUAAAGGGCGCGUAGGCGGUUCGGUAAGUCGGCUGUGAAAGUCCAGGGCUCAACCCUGGGAUGCCGGUCGAUACUGCCGGACUAGGGUUCGGAAGAGGCGAGUGGAAUUCCCGGUGUAGCGGUGAAAUGCGCAGAUAUCGGGAGGAACACCUAUGGCGAAGGCAGCUCGCUGGGACGUUACUGACGCUGAGACGCGAAAGCGUGGGGAGCAAACAGG
rnacentral:rRNA from 1 species